rnacentral:rRNA from 1 species
AAAUUGAAGAGUUUGAUCAUGGCUCAGAUUGAACGCUGGCGGCAGGCCUAACACAUGCAAGUCGAACGGUAACAGGAAGCAGCUUGCUGCUUUGCUGACGAGUGGCGGACGGGUGAGUAAUGUCUGGGAAACUGCCUGAUGGAGGGGGAUAACUACUGGAAACGGUGGCUAAUACCGCAUAACGUCGCAAGACCAAAGAGGGGGACCUUCGGGCCUCUUGCCAUCAGAUGUGCCCAGAUGGGAUUAGCUUGUUGGUGAGGUAACGGCUCACCAAGGCGACGAUCCCUAGCUGGUCUGAGAGGAUGACCAGCCACACUGGAACUGAGACACGGUCCAGACUCCUACGGGAGGCAGCAGUGGGGAAUAUUGCACAAUGGGCGCAAGCCUGAUGCAGCCAUGCCGCGUGUAUGAAGAAGGCCUUCGGGUUGUAAAGUACUUUCAGCGGGGAGGAAGGUGUUGCGGUUAAUAACCGCAGCAAUUGACGUUACCCGCAGAAGAAGCACCGGCUAACUCCGUGCCAGCAGCCGCGGUAAUACGGAGGGUGCAAGCGUUAAUCGGAAUUACUGGGCGUAAAGCGCACGCAGGCGGUCUGUCAAGUCGGAUGUGAAAUCCCCGGGCUCAACCUGGGAACUGCAUUCGAAACUGGCAGGCUUGAGUCUUGUAGAGGGGGGUAGAAUUCCAGGUGUAGCGGUGAAAUGCGUAGAGAUCUGGAGGAAUACCGGUGGCGAAGGCGGCCCCCUGGACAAAGACUGACGCUCAGGUGCGAAAGCGUGGGGAGCAAACAGGAUUAGAUACCCUGGUAGUCCACGCCGUAAACGAUGUCUACUUGGAGGUUGUGCCCUUGAGGCGUGGCUUCCGGAGCUAACGCGUUAAGUAGACCGCCUGGGGAGUACGGCCGCAAGGUUAAAACUCAAAUGAAUUGACGGGGGCCCGCACAAGCGGUGGAGCAUGUGGUUUAAUUCGAUGCAACGCGAAGAACCUUACCUGGUCUUGACAUCCACAGAAGAAUCCAGAGAUGGAUUUGUGCCUUCGGGAACUGUGAGACAGGUGCUGCAUGGCUGUCGUCAGCUCGUGUUGUGAAAUGUUGGGUUAAGUCCCGCAACGAGCGCAACCCUUAUCCUUUGUUGCCAGCGAUUAGGUCGGGAACUCAAAGGAGACUGCCAGUGAUAAACUGGAGGAAGGUGGGGAUGACGUCAAGUCAUCAUGGCCCUUACGACCAGGGCUACACACGUGCUACAAUGGCGCAUACAAAGAGAAGCGACCUCGCGAGAGCAAGCGGACCUCAUAAAGUGCGUCGUAGUCCGGAUUGGAGUCUGCAACUCGACUCCAUGAAGUCGGAAUCGCUAGUAAUCGUGGAUCAGAAUGCCACGGUGAAUACGUUCCCGGGCCUUGUACACACCGCCCGUCACACCAUGGGAGUGGGUUGCAAAAGAAGUAGGUAGCUUAACCUUCGGGAGGGCGCUUACCACUUUGUGAUUCAUGACUGGGGUGAAGUCGUAACAAGGUAACCGUAGGGGAACCUGCGGUUGGA